CCACAGUAACAGAAUGCUCAGUUUCUAGCUGGACUCCCAGGUUAAACCCUUCCUUCCACAGGCUCCCAUGGAGGUAGCUGUGGCUGUGUGUCAAACUCUUGGGUCAACGGAACGCAAGCCACCAUGAUCCGGGAUCCGGAUCAUUCUCUCAAAAGGAAGAGAUAGAUCCCCUCUCCGCCACCCUUUGCCACUUCCAGACAUCCUUCCUAUAGAAAAACUUGUCCCGAAUGGUGGACUGAAGAAGAAAUACAGGUGGACGGGUCUCCAAACCCUGUGUCUCCACCAAGAAGUCACAGGCUGUUUACUCUAUAGGCUGUACGCUCUCCUCUGUCUUUGCAGAGGUCAGCGGUUACACUGACAGUUCAUCUAGGCUUCUGGCUUCUUUGUCGAUGUUCCAUUUUGUGCUGGUAUAUUCUUGAUUACAGAACAAUUGAUGUGCAAGACCCUUGGUUAAAACAACUGAAGAAAAUUCAGAAAAGCGAUUAUCUCUAAAUAGGUCAUUUGCACAGCAAAGAAGCGUACUGCUCACUGAACUGAGCUGAACUCGUUGAAUUCAUUGACUCUUGCCUUUAUUUCGAGAAACAAAGAAUUUAUCCAGGAAAGCAAUUAAACUCUGGCCUAUUUAAAGAAACCUGUUGCUCUUUUGUAAACCGGACUAGAAUUUCUUUGCAUAGGAUGUAAAUGUUAAGGGAGCUUGGACAAUUGCCUCUUUGUGGCUACCUCACGUUGUCACGUAGAAACAGUCACUUACUGUGACUACUGUGUACGUCAGAGCUGGACAAGAAGGAUAAAACGAUGAUUU